AAAGAAAAAAUGUUAGGUCUGUUAGAUUGUAGGUUAAAUAUUAGUAUAGAAAUGGCUAGUAAGUAAAAUGUAUUUCUGAAUUUAUAAUUUGAUAUUUAUUUGCAUUAAAACAUUUUACUUUUGAAUACAAAUAUUUUUCUGCCAAUUUAUAAUGUAGUGCACAUAUUCCCCUUAACAUAAGAUAAUUAAUUAUGGCCAUUAACACCAAAUAACAUCUCAAAUUCAUUUAAUUGCCUAUAACUCAUCAUUAACCAGACAUUCAAAUAUGGCAUUACAUGUUUCUGAAAACUUUUUUUUUUUUUUUUAAAUUAAGCAAUUUGUUGAUGAUGAAGAUCUUUGAUAGUCUCAGCUAGAUUAAUACACUUUUUCUAAAUAAGUGUUUAAAAUGAGGGACAAAAGAUACCAAAUGGACAUUUAAACGCAUCAAUCGAAAUAAACUGACAACACCAUGGCCAAGAAAACAA
rnacentral:lncRNA from 1 species